rnacentral:rRNA from 1 species
CCUACGGGGGGCUGCAGUGGGGAAUAUUGGACAAUGGGCGAAAGCCUGAUCCAGCCAUGCCGCGUGUGUGAAGAAGGCCUUCGGGUUGUAAAGCACUUUCAGUGGGGAAGAAAGCCUUGGGGCUAAUACCCUCGAGGAAGGACAUCACCCACAGAAGAAGCACCAGCUAACUCCGUGCCAGCAGCCGCGGUAAUACGGAGGGUGCGAGCGUUAAUCGGAAUUACUGGGCGUAAAGCGCGCGUAGGCGGUCUGAUAAGCCGGUUGUGAAAGCCCCGGGCUCAACCUGGGAACGGCAUCCGGAACUGUCAGGCUAGAGUGCAGGAGAGGAAGGUAGAAUUCCCGGUGUAGCGGUGAAAUGCGUAGAGAUCGGGAGGAAUACCAGUGGCGAAGGCGGCCUUCUGGACUGACACUGACGCUGAGGUGCGAAAGCGUGGGUAGCAAACAGGAUUAGAUACCCUUGUAGUC